GACGAACGCUGGCGGCGUGCUUAACACAUGCAAGUCGAGCGGUAAGGCCCUUCGGGGUACACGAGCGGCGAACGGGUGAGUAACACGUGAGCAAUCUGCCCUUCACUCUGGGAUAGCCACCGGAAACGGUGAUUAAUACCGGAUAUGACCAGCCCUGGCAUCUGGGUUGGUGGAAAGUUCAGGCGGUGAAGGAUGGGCUCGCGGCCUAUCAGCUUGUUGGUGAGGUAAUGGCUCACCAAGGCUUCGACGGGUAGCCGGCCUGAGAGGGUGACCGGCCACACUGGGACUGAGACACGGCCCAGACUCCUACGGGAGGCAGCAGUGGGGAAUAUUGGACAAUGGGCGAAAGCCUGAUCCAGCAACGCCGCGUGAGGGAUGACGGCCUUCGGGUUGUAAACCUCUUUCAGCAGGGACGAAGCGCAAGUGACGGUACCUGCAGAAGAAGCACCGGCCAACUACGUGCCAGCAGCCGCCGUAA
rnacentral:rRNA from 1 species